rnacentral:rRNA from 1 species
GAUCAACGCUGGCGGCGUGCCUAAUGCAUGCAAGUCGAACGGGGCGCCUUCGGGCGCUCACGUGGCGGACGGGUGCGUAACACGUGGGCAAUCUGCCCCGAGGCGGGGGAUAGCCAUCGGAAACGGUGGGUAAUUCCGCGUACGCUCGCCUGGCAGUGGGCCGGGCGAGGAAAGGCGCAAGCCACCCUGGGAGGAGCCUGCGGCCGAUUAGCUGGUUGGUGGGGUAACGGCCUACCAAGGCGAUGAUCGGUAGCUGGUCUGAGAGGACGGCCAGCCACACGGGGACUGAGAGACGGCCCCGACUCCUACGGGAGGCAGCAGCAAGGAAUCUUCCGCAAUGGGCGAAAGCCUGACGGAGCAACGCCGCGUGGGGGAGGACGCUUUUCGGAGUGUAAACCCCUUUUCUCGGGGACGAAGCACUGACGGUACCCGAGGAAGAAGGACCGGCUAACUACGUGCCAGCAGCCGCCGUAA